UCGCUGGCUGGGAGGUGCGCGCAGGCUACACCAUGGAUUGGGAGAGCCGCGUGCCAUCCUCUCCUCAUGGAUCCUCCUCGGCUCCAGCUCCGACCCUGGCCUCCAAGGCGGAUACACGGUGGUGGCCUCCCCGUGGUCCAAGGUGGCAUGCCUGCAGCUGACUCUGGAUAGCUUCCUACCCUGUUGCGCUCCAUCCUAAUCGACUCCCCUCGGUCUUCCCUAGCUUCGACCCUGGCAGCAGGUCCCCUCCACCUGCCCCACGGCCGCGGUUCCUGCCUCGCUACUUCAGUUUCAAGUUGCUCCUUGCGAAAGUACACAUCGCAUCUGCAUUUCCUCUCCUCUGGUCUGCGUGGUUUCCUUAAACAAGUAGAUGAGUUAUUAGUACUACAAUUUCAUCGGAUCUAAAGUUGGGUGCAUAUGCUACAAAUUCAUAAUCUAAGAAGAAUGUUCAGGUGUUGCGUGCAGGUCUGCGGUGAGGACACAAAUUUGGGGGUCCAGCUCCUUGCGUGAAUGUGCAAGGAAUUUAGAACCUGCAUCUUUAAUAUAACAUGGUAUAUUUAUUCUUAAUCUCUUCAUUACGUUGUGUUCCAUUUUCUUGAUGGAAGUAAUUCUGGUUUAAUUUCACAUGAUGUUUAAACAAAUAAACACAUGAUCUGCUGAAUAGCUGACAUACAUAGGAAGUACUACAUCAUUCUCAGGUAUUUAUUGUUCCUUUUGUGAUAGUUUUCUCUCUCCUAAAAGUAAAAUGAAUCAUUUUUAAUCCUUUGAUCAAGGUUGCCCAAAGUAGGGCGCUCAGCCAUUGAGGCAUUAUCAAUUUCUUUAAGAAGCUUCGCAAAAUCUGCUCUUAUACUAAAAAGAUCUAAUGUAGGUUUGUUAGCCUUAUAUAUAGGGUACUAUAUACUGAACACAUGAUAUUAAAUAUACAGUACAUUGCACUGUGAAGUGAGUAUGUAUAUAUUAUCCACACAGCUAGCUUCUUUCGGGACUCAAUUACAAAUCCCGUGUCAGACGUUUUAGAACCUACAAGCGAGGAAUGCUCCAGAUGCAGGAUUCCAAACAGACUGCGAAAAUCAUAGCGAUAUAUGCUAGGACCUGAUGGCAAACGCAUAUACAUAAAGGAUGACGAAUACCCACCUACAGUUUUUGAUCCCAUGUCAGACGGCAACUUUGAUGUGAAAAUAAAUUGGAGUAUGUGUUUAGGAGUACCGAAAGAAAUCCCAGUGGAAUUUAUGUGUUUAGGAGUACCAAAAGAAAUGACAGUGGAAUUUUCUUUCAUGAAAAAUAAGAACGAAAAUCUGUACUGAUAGCUGCUUAGAGUUAUGAAGAUCAUUCUUUCAUGCAAAGUGCCUCCACUUUGUAAACAUCAACCUAUGUGUAUUGAUUUACACAUAACAUCGAUUUUUUUUAUCUGAUCAAACAUGUACCCCUUCUGUAAUGCUUAUUAUUCUAUGAACACAUCCAAGUUAAUGAUAGCAUUAACUUUAUUUUUGUUUCCUGCAGCUUACUGAAGCUGAACCUGAGCUGCUGCUUAAUUACUGAACCUGAUGAAAACGAAGCCACUCAGACAGAGCUGCAGUGUUGUGGCUAUUUGAGAUUCAUGGGGUUAAGGAGGAUAUGUGAGAAGGAGAAGGAUUCGGAGCUAUGAGUAGAAACUAGCAACACUCAACUGUAGCAAACUAUGUAAGACUGAAUCUUCUGAUGAUGAUUAGCUCUUUUGGUGUUUGGCUGUGAUGACUACUAUAUUACACAUAUGAAGCCUUAAAAAAGUGGAAAAGAUUGUACACCUACUAGGGUUUGAUCUUUUCUUAGCCAAUGAAAAUAGCCUUUUGUGUUUCCAAAACUAUUCCUAUUCUAGAAAGCCCUUUCAGAACUACAACUGUAGUAAAACAAAAAUUGAUCUUUGGCUGUAACUAUUACCGCUAGGAUCUUCUUAUAUUGCAUAACCUACACUCAUG
rnacentral:lncRNA from 1 species